rnacentral:rRNA from 1 species
UACAGAGGUCUCAAGCGUUGUUCGGAUUCAUUGGGCGUAAAGGGUGCGUAGGUGGCGGGGUAAGUCAGGUGUGAAAUUUCGGAGCUUAACUCCGAAACUGCAUUUGAUACUGCCUUGCUUGAGGACUGGAGAGGAGACUGGAAUUCCUGGUGUAGCGGUGAAAUGCGCAGAUAUCAGGAAGAACACCCGUGGCGAAGGCGGUUCUCUGGGACGGUACUGACGCUGAGACGCGAAAGCGUGGGGAGCGAACAGG